AGAGUUUGAUCCUGGCUCAGGAUGAACGCCGGCUGUGUGCCUAAUACAUGCAAGUCGUACGCACUGGCCCAACUGAUUGAUGGUGCUUGCACCUGAUUGACGUUGGAUCACCAGUGAGUGGCGGACGGGUGAGUAACACGUAGGUAACCUGCCCCGGAGCGGGGGAUAACAUUUGGAAACAGAUGCUAAUACCGCAUAACAACAAAAGCCACAUGGCUUUUGUUUGAAAGAUGGCUUUGGCUAUCACUCUGGGAUGGACCUGCGGUGCAUUAGCUAGUUGGUAAGGUAACGGCUUACCAAGGCGAUGAUGCAUAGCCGAGUUGAGAGACUGAUCGGCCACAAUGGAACUGAGACACGGUCCAUACUCCUACGGGAGGCAGCAGUAGGGAAUCUUCCACAAUGGGCGCAAGCCUGAUGGAGCAACACCGCGUGAGUGAAGAAGGGUUUCGGCUCGUAAAGCUCUGUUGUUGGAGAAGAACGUGCGUGAGAGUAACUGUUCACGCAGUGACGGUAUCCAACCAGAAAGUCACGGCUAACUACGUGCCAGCAGCCGCGGUAAUACGUAGGUGGCAAGCGUUAUCCGGAUUUAUUGGGCGUAAAGCGAGCGCAGGCGGUUGCUUAGGUCUGAUGUGAAAGCCUUCGGCUUAACCGAAGAAGUGCAUCGGAAACCGGGCGACUUGAGUGCAGAAGAGGACAGUGGAACUCCAUGUGUAGCGGUGGAAUGCGUAGAUAUAUGGAAGAACACCAGUGGCGAAGGCGGCUGUCUGGUCUGCAACUGACGCUGAGGCUCGAAAGCAUGGGUAGCGAACAGGAUUAGAUACCCUGGUAGUCCAUGCCGUAAACGAUGAGUGCUAGGUGUUGGAGGGUUUCCGCCCUUCAGUGCCGGAGCUAACGCAUUAAGCACUCCGCCUGGGGAGUACGACCGCAAGGUUGAAACUCAAAGGAAUUGACGGGGGCCCGCACAAGCGGUGGAGCAUGUGGUUUAAUUCGAAGCUACGCGAAGAACCUUACCAGGUCUUGACAUCUUGCGCUAACCUUAGAGAUAAGGCGUUCCCUUCGGGGACGCAAUGACAGGUGGUGCAUGGUCGUCGUCAGCUCGUGUCGUGAGAUGUUGGGUUAAGUCCCGCAACGAGCGCAACCCUUGUUACUAGUUGCCAGCAUUAAGUUGGGCACUCUAGUGAGACUGCCGGUGACAAACCGGAGGAAGGUGGGGACGACGUCAGAUCAUCAUGCCCCUUAUGACCUGGGCUACACACGUGCUACAAUGGACGGUACAACGAGUCGCAAGCUCGCGAGAGUAAGCUAAUCUCUUAAAGCCGUUCUCAGUUCGGACUGUAGGCUGCAACUCGCCUACACGAAGUCGGAAUCGCUAGUAAUCGCGGAUCAGCAUGCCGCGGUGAAUACGUUCCCGGGCCUUGCACACACGGCCCGUCA
rnacentral:rRNA from 1 species